rnacentral:rRNA from 1 species
GUGAGGAAUAUUGGACAAUGGGCGCAAGCCUGAUCCAGCCAUGCCGCGUGCAGGAAGACGCAUCUAUGGUGUGUAAACUGCUUUUGUACGGGAAGAAACACUCCCUCGUGAGGGAGCUUGACGGUACCGUAAGAAUAAGGAUCGGCUAACUCCGUGCCAGCAGCCGCGGUAAUACGGAGGAUCCAAGCGUUAUCCGGAAUCAUUGGGUUUAAAGGGUCCGUAGGCGGUUUAAUAAGUCAGUGGUGAAAGCCCAUCGCUCAACGAUGGAACGGCCAUUGAUACUGUUAGACUUGAAUUACAAGGAAGUAACUAGAAUAUGUAGUGUAGCGGUGAAAUGCUUAGAUAUUACAUGGAAUACCAAUUGCGAAGGCAGGUUACUACUUGUGGAUUGACGCUGAUGGACGAAAGCGUGGGGAGCGAACAGGAUUAGAAACCCCUGUAGUAC